rnacentral:rRNA from 1 species
GACGAACGCUGGCGGCGUGCCUAAUACAUGCAAGUCGAACGAGGGCGACCGGUGCUUGCACUGGUCAAUCUAGUGGCGAACGGGUGAGUAACACGUGGGUAACCUGCCCAUCAGAGGGGGAUAACAUCCGGAAACGGAUGCUAAAACCGCAUAGGUCUUCGAACCGCAUGGUUUGAAGAGGGAAAGAGGCGCAAGCUUCUGCUGAUGGAUGGACCCGCGGUGCAUUAGCUAGUUGGUGAGGUAACGGCUCACCAAGGCCGUGAUGCAUAGCCGACCUGAGAGGGUGAUCGGCCACAUUGGGACUGAGACACGGCCCAAACUCCUACGGGAGGCAGCAGUAGGGAAUCUUCCGCAAUGGACGCAAGUCUGACGGAGCAACGCCGCGUGAGUGAAGAAGGUUUUCGGAUCGUAAAACUCUGUUGUUAGAGAAGAACAAGUGCUAGAGUAACUGUUAGCGCCUUGACGGUAGCUAACCAGAAAGCCACGGCUAACUACGUG